AACGAACGCUGGCGGCAGGCUUAACACAUGCAAGUCGAGCGAGACCUUCGGGUCUAGCGGCGGACGGGUGAGUAACGCGUGGGAACGUGCCCUUCUCUACGGAAUAGCCCCGGGAAACUGGGAGUAAUACCGUAUACGCCCUUUGGGGGAAAGUUUUAUCGGAGAAGGAUCGGCCCGCGUUGGAUUAGGUAGUUGGUGGGGUAAUGGCCCACCAAACCGACGAUCCAUAGCUGGUUUGAGGGGAUGAUCAGCCACACUGGGACUGAGACACGGCCCAGACUCCUACGGGAGGAAGCAGUGGGGAAUCUUAGACAAUGGGGGCAACCCUGAUCUAGCCAUGCCGCGUGAGUGAUGAAGGCCUUAGGGUUGUAAAGCUCUUUCAGCUGGGAAGAUAAUGACGGUACCAGCAGAAGAAGCCCCGGCUAACUCCGUGCCAGCCGCCGCGGUAA
rnacentral:rRNA from 1 species